UCCAAUGAUACUCUAUUUCUCACUCUAAUUGAGUGAAAAAUAGGUUUACUCCAAAUAUAGAGUAAUUUUUUUUUUUUGUUCAUCACUCUAUUUUUUACUCUAAAAUAGAGUACCAUUUGAGCAAAUUUAAACUCUAUUAUAGAGUUACUCUAUUUUUUACUUUAAAAUAGAAUAAGCCAUUGGAGAUGGUCUAAGGAACAUAGUGUUCCUCUUCAUUCUAUUGUUCACCAGUCACACCCUUAAUGUAGUCUGACAUAUUAAAUGUAGGAUAAAAUUGUAUAUACACAUACUUGAUUCAUGGGUUUUCUGCAAAAAAAAAAACCCUCUAUGUGUUUUUUUUUUACAAGUUAAUCUACGAACUCGAAAAUCCACAGAUAUAAUGUUUUCUCUUUGUCUUUCAAGAAUUUAAUUCAUUCAAACAUAAGAUUGUUUUUUUGGUAUGGUUAACUCUAUUUUUCAUUUAGAAUAUUUUUUUAAAACACUUAGAAUAAAGUUGAAAUAAAACUUAUCUCUAUUAUAAAAUUAUUUUAUUUUAAAAGAAAAAAUAAAUACUAUAUUGGAGAUUUUUAAUCUAACAGAUUUUUCGUGCCCAGAAAAAGACGUGUACAUCGAUACCGGAUCACAUGCACCCUACUGAUUUUUACUCUUUUCUUUAGUAGUUUAAGUUAAAUUAUCAGAUAUUAUAAGUUCAGUGAAAAAAGUGAAAUUGUAUCCUAUAUACACAACUUUUCCGCUAAUUAAAUCAAUACUCUAAAUUUCACACCAUAGUGCCUUCGUUGAUAGAUACAAAAUAUAUCUUAUCAUUGAUAUUUUGCUAAUUUCAUCAUUCUUUUUGAGUUUUGAGCCAAUUCACUCCAAAAAAACUAUAAAAAAUGCCCCCACCAAAUUUUAUUGUUGUUGUUUCAAAUACAGUGUCCCCGAUUAAAAAUAUUUUUGGAUCCGCCCAUGCUCGUGCCCACAAAAAAAACUACUUUUAUUUUUAUUAAAAACUUACAUUUAGAUUACUGGAUAAUUUUAUCAAGAAAAAAGCCGAUUGUGUGUUAAAAUAAUGUUUUUUUAAUAUUUUUAAAGGAUAUACUCAAGACACUUCAUAUAUAUAUAUAUAUAUAUAUAUAUAUAUAUAUAUAUAUAUAUAUAUAUAUAUAUAUGUAAAUAGGUAAAGCAAAUAAAACGUUUUAGUUUGGUUAUAUUUCAAAAGGUCUUAUUAAAUUAUUAUUCCUCUUAUCCUUUCUUUCUUAGUAACAAUUUGAGAUAUUAUUUGUUUAAAAUUACUAACAUAUAUAUAUUAAUUGUUUCGUCGGCGCAUGCAGACAUAAUAAUUUUACAGAUACUUAUAUAUAUAUAUAUAUAUUUAAACAAAGAUUGUUAUCAUAAUUAUUUAUUUUAUGUUUUUAAUCAUUUUUCUUUUUAUAACAUUUUCUUACUUUUCCUGUUACAUUUUUGUCUUUUCAAAAAUUAUUAAAAUAUGUAAAACUGUGAGUCACAUAUCAAACAUGCAAUAAGUAAAGUAAAAAGUUAACCUUCAUCUUUUUAACUGUUAUUAUCUCUGUGAAUUACUUAAACCAUCAAUAUAUAUAAAACUACAAACAAAAAUUUCAAAAAUUCAAAAUAAAUAAAUAAAGGUAGAUGAUAAUUUAGAAAAAAUUGAAAAUAGGAAAUUGAGAUAAUAAUACUAUUUUUGUUAAGUUGAUAAAUAUAUAUAUGAACUUAUCUUUUUGUUCUUUAUUUUUGUUUAUAAAAUAAAAGUAGGUGAUGAUUAUUGUUGGAUAAUAUCAAACACCCUUAGUUAUAUCAAACAAAACAUUAUUGUCUCAUGUAUUUUUUUUUCAAUUUUUUUACUAUAAUUAUGAUCAACAAAAUAAUAAAUAAGUAUAAUAAUUUUGUUAAGGGUAGCAACGACUUUAACUUUUAAAACAAGAGCUCGGAUGCGAAAAACCAUUUCACAAAUAAUAAUAUAGAUAAAUGUUUUGUACUUAUACUGUUGUACAAGUAAUAUUAUGUUAACAUAUUAUGAAUAGAAGCAAAUAUGUAAAUCAUGUAUGUAAAAUAAAAUUUUGAUUCUGAUUUUUUGUGGUCAUUAAUUAAUGGAAUGGAGUAUAAGCCAUUGCCACUUGGAGAGUUGGAGUCCCUACCCCGAAAGACAUGAUUUAAUGGUUUCCCUUUUGUUUAGCUGUAUAAUUUCAUAAUUUAAAAUUUUCAGUUAUUUUUUGGGUGAUAGUGGUCCUAGUGGAGUGUAAAACCAAAAACAAAUUUCAUUUGUUAAGCUUAAACUGUUAUUUCAAUAAUUUACAUAAUAAAAUAUUAACUUGGACCCUACGUCACGGUCACCCUACCUACUGAUUCCAGUAUAAUGUGUUUCGUCUGUUCAUUGCCAAAUUAUUCACGUAGAUCGAGAUGUUUCUCGAUAAUUUGCGUUGAAUGUUUAUAGAUUAAUAAAUAUAAAUAUAUUCCAUUCAUUCAAAAUAUAGAUGUUUUAUUUAUUUAAAAAUAUAUUUUAUGUUUUCUAUGUUUUCGAAGAGCAUAUAUUCUUAAUACUGAUCAUAUCAAGCAAUUCCUUAUAUAUAUAUAUAUAUGCUUUUAUUAGUUAAUAAAAAUAAAUAGUGAGCUAUUAAUUAUGAUUAUUAAAUAAUUGUUAACUUUUAAUAAAGAAAUAUAAUUAUAUCCAAAAAUAAUAUAUAAUUCAAUUUUAUUAUGUUUUUAAUAUUUGACAAAAAAAAUUAUGUUCAUAUAGAUGUACAACUGAAAAAUGUAUAUAGUUAUAUGUUGUUUUAGAAACAAUAAAAGUUUUCCAAUAAAAUAUCAUGCUUAUAAUUUAGGUAAUCAUCAUAUUUAUGUAAACAAGUGAAGGUAAUUAAACCGAGAGCUUUUAUAUGGAAGCAUUUGAAAUUAUCAAUUUUUUUAUAACCUUGGUGUGAAUUGAUCCCAAAGUCUUUGGGUCUAGAAAUUAUCAUUCUAGACAUAUUUAUUUUAAAUAAGUGAGAUAGUAAUUACACCGAAAACUUUUAAAUGUAAGCAUUUUAAAUUGAUAAUCCUCUAUUCCUAUAGACAUUCCAAAUAUGUUAGAGAAAAGAGUAUUUAUUAAAAAUAUGAUUAUUAUGAUAUUGAAGAGAAGUGGGUGCACGAAUGACAUAUACGUAUAUACCAUUUGGAGGGGACAAUGCACGCUAUAAUUUGAUGUCAAUAAACUUUCUUUCCUACCAAAAAGCCACACUCUUCUUACUUUCCAACACAUGCUUAUAUCAUUAAUACCAGUUAAUUAUAAAAACGAUAGUUAAUUUCUUUUUAAUCAUCUGAUGUCCUCGAAUGGACAGAUCAUUAAAUCAUCACUAGGUUUUUUUCCGGGCUACGCCCGGGUUCUGGACAAAUAUAUUUGUAUCUAAUAUAUAUAUAUAUAUAUGCAUAUAUAUUGUGGACAUAUAAAUCCAAAUAUUAUUUUAUCUUAUAUAUUAUGGAUUCUCAUGAAAAAAAUUGUUGAACAAAUGAUCAACCUUUGUUUUUAAUUUAGUUAUUGAAUUUUUUUACUAACAAUCAAGUUCUUACUUAGAAUCUAUAUGACUUGAUGCCGCUAAAAAUGAUGGCAUGAUAACUGAUGUUGUUAGAAGCUCUUGGAUGUAUGUAUUAUUUUUUGGUUAUAAAACCGUUAAGUCUCUUCAGAAUUGAAAGGUAAAUUCGUUGUUUUAAGUUUCUCCGAAAUCCGUAUGAUAAAGAUCAAAUUUCUUGUACACUCAUGCAUAAUUUCGUUGUUUUCAAACUCAACAAUAUCUCUCUUGUUUCUUUUCUUUGCUACCACAUCUCUUUCGUGGACAUUGAUCCUGCAAAGAGGAUACAAUAUAUGCAUGUGUUAUAUUUGAAGUCAUGUUUUUUCUUUUAUACUCCUAUAUUUUGGGUUGAUGUGUUUGUGUUUGCUUUGUUUUAUACUUUUCAUGUCAUGAGUAGUUGCUGUAAGAUUCUAGUGUCAGUACUCAGUAGCAACCGUAAUCCACCAUAAUGCAUUCAUUUGGUUGAUUGUAUAUCCACCCGGUCCAAAAGCUAUUCAUAUGCAUCCAUUACUUUGUAUCCCACCAUUGGAACCCAUAUCUCUCUCUCUUUUGUGAUUUUGUUAAGGGAUAUCUUCAACAUGUUAAUGGCAAGUAACCAAGCAAGUCUCAGCAUCAUUCGUUCAAUGUUACAUUAAGAAAAUAGCUGCUAUACAAAUAUGAACAUGUAGCAUUAGAGAAAAAAAAACAGCAAUCUCACACAGGAAUAAGCAACAUUUUUGUCAUCCAGAGAACUUCUAUUGAGCAGAGAGGCAUUUCUGUCAGUAUUUUCAGAAAUAUGUAGUGAUGGACAGCCUGAGCAACAAUCAGAUCAGCUGAUAUUCCCAAGUUCUUAUCCCAAGAUUCCUUCAUGAAUGGCGACCAUUUACUAUCUCUUAGUCCAUAACCGUUGAACACAGUCCAAAAUCCUUGAACCGCAUAGCUAGCGCAACUUUGGCGGAGUUUAUUCAUUGACCUCUAAACAGAUCAAUAUUGAAACCCUUUUCUUCACCAAGCAUGACUCGAGAUGAAUCAUCAGAAUCUCCGCCCAGUAGGACGUGCAGAGCAACAGCUUCAGCUUUUGUUGUACAACACAUUCUUAACUUUUGAGAUCUAUAUCACUUAUAAGUAUACACACAUCUAAUGCAUUGGCUCUUUUGUUGUAUUCUCUUAUAUAUAUAUAUAUAUGUAUCUUUAUUUUUCCAAGAUAAAAUAUUUCAUUAAUUGUACUCGAAUUGAAAAAAAAAAAAGUUGAAUGGACUUGCUUUCUUUGAUACCAAAGCAGAUUCAGUUUGGUUCACAGUUUGUGUUUUGAAACCAAAUUUGGAUGCGGCAAAUGUGCCAUUGCAUUGCUUUGGUGAUGAGAUUGAGGAAGGGGUCCUGGUCUCUUGUAACUUUAGUUGUUUCUCAAACAUCAUCUGUAGGCACUGCCCUGUUUUUCAAACAGUAAUUGCAAGGACCAUUGUAUCUGGGUCAUAUAAAUUAAACAACAUCAAAUUAUAGGACUAAUACUCUCUUUGGUUAGAAAGCAGACAAAUUUUAAUUUUAGCAGCUAUGUAGGUGAAAUCAUUACCUCGAUCUGCUCAUGGAAACAUUUCUAAGCUUCCAUAUGUAACAUUGGAUCUUAUCUGAUCUAAAUGCUCCUGGUAAAGAAAGAGUGAAAAAAUAAAACAUAUAAGUAAUACUAUAACAAUCAAAUUCUGAACCAAUGCGAAAGAAUGAUUCCAUGUUUGUUGUAUAGUCAGAACAGAGACAUUUCUUACGUUUUAAUGUCAAGAAAUUUGAUAUCUUUGAUAGAUGUCAUCUUAUUCACUUAAGGUCUCCUCUGAAAGAAAGGAAAAAAAAAAGAAUAGGUCCCUUUGUAAGCUGUUUGCCUUCGAGACUUUAGCAUUUCUAAAGACUAAGUAACUCUCUAGAGACAUGUGUGGUUUAUAGCUCAGAAAAAAAAUACAAAAGUAUUAUGUGAAAGUAUAUACCGGCAGCCUCUGAAACACCUUAAGCAUCCAGUAGUCAGAUUGUACUGAUCGUACAAAAAAAUGGGACUGUGCGUUGUGAAGUCAAGUGGUUUGGGACGGGUGUGAAACACCUUAAGCGUCCAUUGUUCCUCCCUUUACAGAUUAAGAAAAAAGGAAAAGAAUGUUAGGAGCUGGAGGAAGAAAACCUCAAGCCAAAUGCAGAAGAAAUCAUAGCUGAGUUAAUACCAAAGUAAAGAGAACAAAGAUAGGUGAAAGAAAAAGGCAGAAAAUUUGAACACAAAUAUUGCAACUUGUACAAAUCAUGAGAACCAUUUCAUGAUCUUAUCUCUUCUCAAUCUGUAAACCUACUCCCGAACUGUUUGAUUUUUGUGAAACGAACUCGUCUAAGCAACUUACCUCACUCUCUCAUGAAUUCUUCAAGAUGCUUAUGCACAACUCUCCUGAAGCUUAGCUAUAGAGAAGAAACACAAAGUGGUGAGGAAUAUAGCUGAAAAAUAGGUAUGCAACUUAUCAAGGAUGAAAUGAAAUUGUAAAGCUUGAUAAAUGUUUCUCUAAGUAAGUAAGCUCUUCGUCACUCACCUUUCCUCGCGUGUUUGGUUGGAAACGUCUAGAUGGAGGUCCAUAUCCAUCUAAAUAAACUAUCUUGAAAACUGAGAGAUAAAAAAUAGUAGACAACUUGUAAACUGACGACAUAAUUAAAAAGGCCAAUGCCAAAAUCAGAAAACUUUAUAAACCAUAGUGUAGCCGCUUAACUUUUGUGUAGAAGGGUUGAUUUCAUCUUAUUUGGAGAUAGUUUGAAAACCCGAAAUCACACAUCUAACACAAAACUUGAAACUUAAUUGAAAUUUGAUCAAAUGAAACAGUAAACGACAUACCAAAAGAAGUUGGAUCAAAAUCUUUUUUUUUGUCGCCUUUAACAUUGCUUCUCGUACUGUCUGCCCUCACGGAGGAAUAGAUUCUUCACUCCUCCUUCUCGGAGAUGGUCCUAAUCGUCACUCUCUGAGCCUGUCAUUUUCAAUUGGAGAGAGAAACAGCUAUAUGAGUUUUUCCGGUGGAGAAGGCAGACUUUCUAGUGAUUUCAAGGCGGUGGAUAGUUGUUUCUACAGAGUUUCGAUUAGGGUUGGAAUGAAGAUGAUAUAGAGUGCUUUGUAUAGAAGGAGAAAGAGGGGGAGGUGGAACGAAACCAUUAAAGAAGAAUUAAACAGCAUAAUAUUUUGAUGAAGAGUUGGUUUUGGUAACGGCGAGUGCUGAGAAUUUGAUCGUGAAAGCAAAGAGAAAUGGUCGAGGUAGAACAAAACUUUACGCUUCAGACAUCUAAGGUGAGAUGGGCUUGUAUUGGGCUAUUUAAUAAAUGCAAACACAGCCCAAAUUAAAAACCCGUUUUUGGACUGAAACGUAUGACAUGGCAAAUUAACCUGUUAUGAUUGGUUGAUUUUUUUGCAGACGUGGACAGCCUCUCCUUUGAACUUAUUCUACUUUUAGUAUUGUUAGAUUUUAUAUAAGUGGUACCCACUUCUUAUUUUACUUUAUUUGUAAGCAAUUUUUUUUUUUUUUUGCAUUUUGGGAAAUAAUAACUAGGUAAAUAUUAUGUGGUGAUUAUUAUAUAUUUUUGGAAAUAAUAAUUAGGUAAAGAACAAAAAGAAAUUAGAACAAGCCUUGAUUUAGUUUAGAACACGUAUCAGAUUCAGACCAUGGUAUAGGAACAUUACAGGUAAAUUUGCAGAUCAGGUGGUCUUGAAAGGGGACAACUUUAGUUAUUUUAACAAUAUUUCAAUACAAUAUAAUAAAAUAUGUUACAAAAAAUAUUCAUUGCUAUAAGAUUUGCUCCCUUAAGAUUCGAGCUUAGAUCAUUUUAUAUCAAUUAAAAACAAAAUGAAAGAGAUAAACUAAAGAAUGUCCAAUGAUCUAAAAAAAUCAAUUAAUCUUUAGCUGUUUCAAGCAUGUGUGUGAGCUGUGAUGCUAUGUUUCAAAGUGUUACCUCUAAAUUAUCAAAUAUCAGUUUAAAUAUCAAAUCACCUUUAAUAAAGGUUGAAAAUCUGAGUGGUCUACCAUUUCCCUUAAAAAAAAUUCUUAAAUGGUGAUAACUUAUAAAAAUGAGUUCAAUGCAUACUAAUGAGACUCAUCAUAUACAUGUAAAGUUACCUGGAAGACAUGAAAUACAUAUUACUAGUAGAGCCAUGCAGUAUAUAUUUGAAAUGAAUAGAUUUGAUAAAUUUCCACAAGAAUGUGACAGUGCAGAGGCAAUGAUCUUACUGAAAACUGGAAGACAAACACAAUAGUAACAGAACAUGGGAGAUGAUUCAGCAAACUAAAAGCAUUAAGUUCCUUUGAAUAAUACCAAGCACAAAAUCAUCAAAGACACACAGUCUAGGUCAAGCACAAAGAAUGGAUGGCCAUGACCAAUGGAAUUUCUUUUGAUACAUCCCAGGACAAAGUAAUAAGCCGACGAGGUAAGCGAUUGUAACCAUACGCAGACAAAACAAUGUACAGUUAAAUUUUAAC